AGGACGAACGCUGGCGGCGUGCUUAACACAUGCAAGUCGAGCGGAAAGACCCUUCGGGGUACUCGAGCGGCGAACGGGUGAGUAACACGUGAGCAACCUGCCCUUAGCUCCGGGAUAGCUCCGGGAAACCGGAAUUAAUACCGGAUACGACCACAGCCGACAUCUGCUGUGGUGGAAAGGAUUCCGGCUAAGGAUGGGCUCGCGGCCUAUCAGCUAGUUGGUGGAGUAACGGCCCACCAAGGCGACGACGGGUA
rnacentral:rRNA from 1 species